AUUAAACUAUUCUUUG
rnacentral:tRNA from 1 species